rnacentral:rRNA from 1 species
AUGACGCCCACAAGGGAGGAACGACACCAGAGCGCCGCUAUCAUCCGAUCAUCCGAUCUGGGGUUUCCCCGGGAGGUAGCAGUGAGUGGCCUUGAACUUCUCCACGGCGAUGCCUUCAAAAAGGGAACGACGCAGAUAGCGCCGCCACCGCAGGCCUUAGCAGGAGCCGAAGGCAAGUUUUCAUCCAGAUCAGUUCGAAGGGAUCCAACUCUUGUGCCCGGGCCGCCGUCACCACCAGCACCACCAGGCAGACCCUGGAGUACCGGCAUAUCAGCGAGCCGCCGGGCCGCCGCCAUCCCCGCGUCGUCCGGGUCAGAGACGGAGCCACCGACCGCGCACACGGACCGCCGCCGCCUGCACAUGCCGGAGCUCCGCCGAGAGCCCAGCGCCCGCCACCGCUUGUCGAAGCCAACUGCCCGAGCACUUGCGCCACCAUGGAGCCAUCAGAUCAGGGAGGAAGACGCGCGCCUACCACCCUCGCGUACCUCGCCGCACGCCCGAGCGCCGGCGCCACGGCGGAGCCAUCAGAUCGAGAUGAGGAGGAGCCCGCGCGCUUGCCGCCCCGCUCAGACCACGCCGCCGCCAGCGCCGCAGCGCCACCAACCAGGGGAGCCCCGCCCAGAUCCGCCGACGGCCCGACCUGCCGCCGAUCCGAGCGCCGCCGCGAGGGCCGGCCGUCCCGCGCCGCCCAGGAGCCUCGCGAGGGGGGAGGGAGCCCCGCCGCUGCCGACACACGCACGGGCUUUGCACGACGGCGUCCCCUGGCGGCGGCGAGGGAGAAGGAAGGCGAGAAAGGGGAGCGGUGGCGGCAAUCUAGGGUUCCCCCGGGCCGCUCGCGGGAGCGGCACGGGGGACGGGGGACGGCUCCGUCUACUGGAAUUUCUCAUGGUUUUUUCAUAUAUAUGUUGUUCGAUUUAUAUGAUUGCAUUCUUUUUUUUGCAAAGAUUAUAUGAUUGCAUUCUAUAG